GCCAGUGUAGUGUAAUGGGUUGAAUGCUGGACUUGGGCUCCUGGAGACCAGGGUUCUAAUCCCCACUCAGCCA